AAUCAUUCUCGCAGGAUUUCUCUUUCGAUAGCCAGUAAUUAGCCAAAGCCAAACAUUUCUUUGGGGGAUUGACCAAAUGAUGACUCUAUGUAACUACAGCUAGUCAAAGAACAAAAUUAAGAAAGGAAUCCGAUUGGGGCCGGGGUACAUCUUAGA